rnacentral:rRNA from 1 species
CUCGUAGGCGGUUCGUCGCGUCCGGUGUGAAAGUCCAUCGCUUAACGGUGGAUCCGCGCCGGGUACGGGCGGGCUUGAGUGCGGUAGGGGAGACUGGGAAAUUCCCGGUGUAACGGUGGAAUGUGUAGAUAUCGGGAAGAACACCAAUGGCGAAGGCAGGUCUCUGGGCCGUCACUGACGCUGAGGAGCGAAAGCGUGGGGAGCGAACA